rnacentral:rRNA from 1 species
AGACGUCUACAUUAGAUACCCGCGUAGUCCCAGCCCUAAACGAUGCGCGUUAGGUGUAUCGGUGACCACGAGUCACCGAGGUGCCGAAGGGAAACCGUGAAACGUGCCGCCUGGGAAGUACGGUCGCAAGGCUGAAACUUAAAGGAAUUGGCGGGGGGAGCACCACAACGGGUGGAGCCUGCGGUUUAAUUGGACUCAACGCCGGGAAGCUCACCGGAUAAGACAGCGGAAUGAUUGCCGGGCUGAAGACCCUGCAUGACCAGCUG